rnacentral:rRNA from 1 species
UUGAUCAUGGCUCAGAUUGAACGCUGGCGGCAGGCUUAACACAUGCAAGUCGAGCGGAGAGAGGUAGCUUGCUACUGAUCUUAGCGGCGGACGGGUGAGUAAUACUUAGGAAUCUGGCUAUUAGUGGGGGACAACAUUUCGAAAGGGAUGCUAAUACCGCAUACGUCCUACGGGAGAAAGCAGGGGAUCUUCGGACCUUGCGCUAAUAGAUGAGCCUAAGUCGGAUUAGCUAGUUGGUGGGGUAAAGGCCUACCAAGGCGACGAUCUGUAGCGGGUCUGAGAGGAUGAUCCGCCACACUGGGACUGAGACACGGCCCAGACUCCUACGGGAGGCAGCAGUGGGGAAUAUUGGACAAUGGGGGGAACCCUGAUCCAGCCAUGCCGCGUGUGUGAAGAAGGCCUUAUGGUUGUAAAGCACUUUAAGCGAGGAGGAGGGUACUGGUAUUAAUACUACCAGGUACUGGACGUUACUCGCAGAAUAAGCACCGGCUAACUCUGUGCCAGCAGCCGCGGUAAUACAGAGGGUGCGAGCGUUAAUCGGAUUUACUGGGCGUAAAGCGUGCGUAGGCGGCUAAUUGAGUCGGAUGUGAAAUCCCCGAGCUUAACUUGGGAAUUGCAUUCGAUACUGGUUAGCUAGAGUGUGG